CUAAGGAAUCGUUAGGCAACUGGUAACAGGAACCGAUCGAUUAACCUGAGGUCAAUCAUGUUCGAUUCGUCGAACAUGACCGUUCGUAACGACUCGAUAGAACCUCGCAAAUAUUCUACUCCCUAGUUUUGAGAGACCGGCGAACGUAGGGCCUAUAGCUCAGUUGGCUAGAGCGCACCCCUGAUAAGGGUGAGGUCGGUAGUUCGACUCUACCUAGGCCCACCUCAGGGAAGAGGCUGUUCCGCUGUUAAGGUGUUAGGGAUAGAAAACCUAACAGUUAGCAUCCUAACAGCUGACCGCCUUCGAUGGGGGCUGUAGCUCAGCUGGGAGAGCGCCGCCCUUGCAAGGCGGAGGCCGUCGGUUCGAUCCCGAUCAGCUCCACUUCUGUCCGGAUUCAUUGUUGGAUGCACAUUGCUCGGUAGAUGUAUUGAGCAGUGUGGAUCCAACGUCAGGUGGAUCGCGUCGGUUUUAGGUCUUUGACAAUUGCAUACGGGUACCAGAAUUUGAUCAAGUGUCGAUGGUAGAUAAUGACGGU
rnacentral:tRNA from 1 species